UAUAUAUGAUGAAAUCAACUAUCCAGUUCUGCUACUGAACUUAAAAUGAAGAUAUUACCACACUGACAU